rnacentral:rRNA from 1 species
CCUACGGGACGCAGCAGUGAGGAAUAUUGGUCAAUGGGCGAGAGCCUGAACCAGCCAAGUCGCGUGAGGGAUGACUGCCCUAUGGGUUGUAAACCUCUUUUGUAUGGGGGGAAUAAGCUUUACGAGUAGAGUGAUGACAGUACCAUACGAAUAAGCAUCGGCUAACUCCGUGCAAGCAGCCGCGGUAAUACGGAGGAUGCGAGCGUUAUCCGGAUUUAUUGGGUUUAAAGGGUGCGUAGGCGGCAUUAUAAGUUAGUGGUAAAAUAUUGGGGCUUAACUUAACUAGGCAAUUAUUAUGGUA